rnacentral:pre_miRNA from 1 species
CACGGGGGGCAGGGGGGGUCCCUUAGCAUGGAUUGCAAGAGGUCGCAGGCCAGGCAAAGGGACCCUACCAGUGCAUG